GUACGGGGGGGCAAGCGUUGUUCGGAAUUACUGGGCGUAAAGGGCUCGUAGGUGGCCAACUAAGUCAUACGUGAAAUCCCUCGGCUUAACCGGGGAACUGCGUCUGAUACUGGAUGGCUUGAGGUUGGGAGAGGGAUGCGGAAUUCCAGGUGUAGCGGUGAAAUGCGUAGAUAUCUGGAGGAACACCGGUGGCGAAGGCGGCAUCCUGGACCAAUUCUGACACUGAGGAGCGAAAGCCAGGGAGCAAACGGG
rnacentral:rRNA from 1 species